rnacentral:rRNA from 1 species
UACGAAGGGUGCAAGCGUUACUCGGAAUUACUGGGCGUAAAGCGUGCGUAGGCGGUUUGUUAAGUCCGUUGUGAAAGCCCUGGGCUCAACCUGGGAAUUGCAGUGGAUACUGGCGAGCUAGAGUGCGGUAGAGGAUGGUGGAAUUCCCGGUGUAGGCGGUGAAAUGCGUAGAGAUCGGGAGGAACACCCGUGGCGAAGGCGGCCAUCUGGACCAGCACUGACGCUGAGGCACGAA